AUGGGACACCAAAGGAAUCACAGUUUACUAGUUUUCAUUGGUCGAACUCUUCUUGUGUCUGACAAUUUUUGGGAAAGAAAUACUGGGGCUUGCUUGAAGUUCAAUCAAUGCAGUUAAAAGUUUGUGAAAAUAGUAAAAUCGGGACCGAAGGUCAAGGUUGAAGCGGCCGGUUUUUUUUGUUUAUAUUUUAUGGGUUUUUCUUUCUCUGGUUAAUAUAGCAUAUGAUCAAGUUGAAUUUGAGGCUGGUUCUUGAAUUUUUCGGUUGAAUCAGUCGGUUUGAUCCGAUAUUCGAAACGUUGGUAAUAUGUGUUAAUUGAAUUGAAUUUGAGGCUGGUUCUUGAUUUUUUCGGUUGAGCUAGCGGGUUCGAUUCGAUUUUCAAAACAUUGGUAAUACGUAUAAGUCAAAAGUCCUAAGACUCAAUAUGUAUGCAAAACAGUUAUGGAAAGUCAUCAAGUC
rnacentral:lncRNA from 1 species